AACGAACGCUGGCGGCAGGCCUAACACAUGCCAGUCGAGCGAGCAUUUCGGUGCUAGCGGCGGACGGGUGAGUAACGCGUGGGAACGUGCCCUUUUCUGCGGAAUAGUCCUGGGAAACUGGCGGUAAUACCGCAUACGCCCUUUUGGGGAAAGGUUUAUCGGAGAAGGAUCGGACCGUGUUGGAUUAGGUAGUUGGUGGGGUAAUGGCCCACCCAGCCGACGAUCCAUAGCUGGUUUGAGAGGAUGAUCAGCCACACUGGAACUGAGACACGGCCCAGACUCCUACGGGAGGCAGCAGUGGGGGAUCUUAGACAAUGGGGGCAACCCUGAUCAAGCCAUGCCGCGUGAGUGAUGAAGGCCUUAGGGUUGUAAAGCUCUUUCAGCUGAGAAGAUAAUGACGGUACCAGCAGAAGAAGCCCCGGCUAACUCCGUG
rnacentral:rRNA from 1 species